UACGGAGGGUCCAAGCGUUAUCCGGAAUCAUUGGGUUUAAAGGGUCCGUAGGCGGUUUUGUAAGUCAGUGGUGAAAGCCCAUCGCUCAACGGUGGAACGGCCAUUGAUACUGCAAGACUUGAAUUAUUGGGAAGCAACUAGAAUAUGUAGUGUAGCGGUGAAAUGCUUAGAGAUUACAUGGAAUACCAAUUGCGAAGGCAGGUUGCUACCAAUACAUUGACGCUGAUGGACGAAAGCGUGGGGAGCGAACAGG
rnacentral:rRNA from 1 species